UCAAAAGGUUACAAGCGCUCUUAAUCGCUUCGUUCUUUCAAUACAAGAAAAUUGAAAACAAGACUAAUUUUUAACUAAAAAAUGUUUCACUUAAAAAUUAUUUGCGCGUCCGUUCUGCUGAUUUUUUUCUUUUCGUCUGUUAGCUCUCAAAAAAAUGAGUUCGAAAAGCAAGUGAAGCUUUUUAAUCGCAUCCGUUGGUUUCAAUCGCCUGGACAGGUAGAAAAUACAAGAUACGAAGACUUUGCGAUAAGAAAGUUAAAAAAACACGAUAAGAAUGUUUAUGUUGGUGAAGUUUAUUCUAAUACUCAUGGAUUUAUUGCUAAAAUUUACGUUCAAUAUCCGGAUCUACCAUGGAAUCAAGUUGGAGAAUCAUUUAGAUCCUUAAUUCUCGAUGAAACGACAAAUUAUGUAAGAUGUAUUGCAGGUCAAGUUUUUAAAAGCUUAGAGGAUGAUGGAGAAUCGUGCAAAUUUAUCAUAGUAGGUCUUGCUGAAACUGAAUUUCCAAGAGCAAUUGUCCCAACACCACCAUCUGGUUACACAGUAAUAAACACAGCAAUAAAUCGCAGAAGAUAAUAUCUAUUAGAUAUCAAUAUUUACCAGCAAAUUUCCAAUAUAAUGUGUAAAUAUAGCAAAAAUGCAUGUAUUACUGCAGUAAAUAACGGGCAAACAAUUUUUGUUAUCUUCUGAAUUUACUUGUCCACGUCAAAUAAAUGGUCACCAAAAAGACCAAAAAAAUUUAAAAUAA